GCUGCGAUGGCCGAGUGGUUAAGGCAUUAGACUUAAAUUCUAAUGGGAUCUUCCUGCGUAGGUUCGAACCCUACUCGCAGCG